rnacentral:rRNA from 2 species
UCGGAGAGUUUGAUCCUGGCUCAGGAUGAACGCUGGCGGCGUGCCUAAUACAUGCAAGUCGAGCGAACUGAUUAGAAGCUUGCUUCUAUGACGUUAGCGGCGGACGGGUGAGUAACACGUGGGCAACCUGCCUGUAAGACUGGGAUAACUUCGGGAAACCGAAGCUAAUACCGGAUAGGAUCUUCUCCUUCAUGGGAGAUGAUUGAAAGAUGGUUUCGGCUAUCACUUACAGAUGGGCCCGCGGUGCAUUAGCUAGUUGGUGAGGUAACGGCUCACCAAGGCAACGAUGCAUAGCCGACCUGAGAGGGUGAUCGGCCACACUGGGACUGAGACACGGCCCAGACUCCUACGGGAGGCAGCAG